GGGGAUUUAGCUCAGCGGUAGAGCACUUGCCUGGCAGGCUCAAGGCCCUGGGUUCGAUCCCCAGCUCCG
rfam:Rattus norvegicus chromosome 12, whole genome shotgun sequence.